UACGAAGGGGGCUAGCGUUGUUCGGAAUUACUGGGCGUAAAGCGCGUGUAGGCGGGUCUUUAAGUCAGGGGUGAAAUGCCAGGGCUCAACCUUGGAACUGCCUUUGAUACUGGAGACCUUGAGUCCGGGAGAGGUGAGUGGAAUUGCGAGUGUAGAGGUGAAAUUCGUAGAUAUUCGCAAGAACACCAGUGGCGAAGGCGGCUCACUGGCCCGGAACUGACGCUGAGACGCGAAAGCGUGGGGAGCAAACAGGG
rnacentral:rRNA from 1 species